rnacentral:rRNA from 1 species
GAUGAACGCUGGCUACAGGCUUAACACAUGCAAGUCGAGGGGAAACGACGGGGAAGCUUGCUUCCCCGGGCGUCGACCGGCGCACGGGUGAGUAACGCGUAUCCAACCUGCCUCUGACUGAGGGAUAACCCGUCGAAAGUCGGCUUAAUACCUCAUGGUAUCGUCUGCGGGCAUCCAACGACGAUUAAAGAUUUCAUCGGUCAGGGAUGGGGAUGCGUCUGAUUAGCUUGUUGGCGGGGUAACGGCCCACCAAGGCUACGAUCAGUAGGGGUUCUGAGAGGAAGGUCCCCCACAUUGGAACUGAGACACGGUCCAAACUCCUACGGGAGGCAGCAGUGAGGAAUAUUGGUCAAUGGGCGAGAGCCUGAACCAGCCAAGUAGCGUGCAGGAAGACGGCCCUAUGGGUUGUAAACUGCUUUUAUGCGGGGAUAAAGUGAGGGACGUGUCCCUCAUUGCAGGUACCGCAUGAAUAAGGACCGGCUAAUUCCGUGCCAGCAGCCGCGGUAAUACGGAAGGUCCUGGCGUUAUCCGGAUUUAUUGGGUUUAAAGGGAGCGUAGGCCGUGGAUUAAGCGUGUUGUGAAAUGCAGGUGCUCAACGUCUGCACUGCAGCGCGAACUGGUCCACUUGAGUGUGCGCAACGCAGGCGGAAUUCGUCGUGUAGCGGUGAAAUGCUUAGAUAUGACGAAGAACUCCGAUUGCGAAGGCAGCUUGCGGGAGCACAACUGACGCUGAAGCUCGAAAGUGCGGGUAUCGAACAGG